UAGGGAAUCUUCGGCAAUGGACGAAAGUCUGACCGAGCAACGCCGCGUGAGUGAAGAAGGUUUUCGGAUCGUAAAACUCUGUUGUUAGAGAAGAACAAGGACGUUAGUAACUGAACGUCCCCUGACGGUAUCUAACCAGAAAGCCACGGCUAACUACGUGCCAGCAGCCGCGGUAAUACGUAGGUGGCAAGCGUUGUCCGGAUUUAUUGGGCGUAAAGCGAGCGCAGGCGGUGUCUUAAGUCUGAUGUGAAAGCCCCCGGCUCAACCGGGGAGGGUCAUUGGAAACUGGGAGACUUGAGUGCAGAAGAGGAGAGUGGAAUUCCAUGUGUAGCGGUGAAAUGCGUAGAUAUAUGGAGGAACACCAGUGGCGAAGGCGGCUCUCUGGUCUGUAACUGACGCUCAGGUGCGAAAGCGUGGGGAGCAAACAGG
rnacentral:rRNA from 1 species